rnacentral:rRNA from 1 species
GGAUGAACGCUAGCUACAGGCUUAACACAUGCAAGUCGAGGGGCAUCAGGAAGAAAGCUUGCUUUCUUUGCUGGCGACCGGCGCACGGGUGAGUAACACGUAUCCAACCUGCCCUUUACUCGGGGAUAGCCUUUCGAAAGAAAGAUUAAUACCCGAUAGCAUAAUGAUUCCGCAUGGUUUCAUUAUUAAAGGAUUCCGGUAAAGGAUGGGGAUGCGUUCCAUUAGGUUGUUGGUGAGGUAACGGCUCACCAAGCCUUCGAUGGAUAGGGGUUCUGAGAGGAAGGUCCCCCACAUUGGAACUGAGACACGGUCCAAACUCCUACGGGAGGCAGCAGUGAGGAAUAUUGGUCAAUGGGCGUUAGCCUGAACCAGCCAAGUAGCGUGAAGGAUGAAGGCUCUAUGGGUCGUAAACUUCUUUUAUAUAAGAAUAAAGUGCAGUAUGUAUACUGUUUUGUAUGUAUUAUAUGAAUAAGGAUCGGCUAACUCCGUGCCAGCAGCCGCGGUAAUACGGAGGAUCCGAGCGUUAUCCGGAUUUAUUGGGUUUAAAGGGGAGCGUAGGUGGACUGGUAAGUCAGUUGUGAAAGUUUGCGGCUCAACCGUAAAAUUGCAGUUGAUACUGUCAGUCUUGAGUACAGUAGAGGUGGGCGGAAUUCGUGGUGUAGCGGUGAAAUGCUUAGAUAUCACGAAGAACUCCGAUUGCGAAGGCAGCUCACUGGACUGCAACUGACACUGAUGCUCGAAAGUGUGGGUAUCAAACAGGAUUAGAUACCCUGGUAGUCCACACAGUAAACGAUGAAUACUCGCUGUUUGCGAUAUACAGUAAGCGGCCAAGCGAAAGCAUUAAGUAUUCCACCUGGGGAGUACGCCGGCAACGGUGAAACUCAAAUGAAUUGACGG